GACGAACGCUGGCGGCGUGCUUAACACAUGCAAGUCGAACGGAAACGCCCUGCUUUUGUGCGGUGCUCGAGUGGCGAUCGGGUGAGUAACACGUGAGUAACCUGCCCUUGAUUUUGGGAUAACUUCAGGAAAGUGGGGCUACUACCGGAUAGGAGAUCCUGUUCCAUGGUGGGCGUUGGAAAGUUUCGGCGGUUGGGGAUGGACGCGCGGCUUAUCAGCUUGUUGGUGGGGUAGUGGCUUACCAAGGCUUUGACGGGUAGCCGGCCUGGGAGGGUGACCGGCCACAUUGGGCCUGAGAUACGGCCCAGACUCCUACGGGAGGCAACGGUGGGGAGUAUUGCACAAUGGGCGGAAGCCUGAUGCAGCAACGCCGCGUGCGGGAUGACGGCCUUCGGGUUGUAAACCGCUGUCGCCUGUGACGAAGCGUGAGUGACGGUAAUGGGUGAAGAAGCACCGGCUAACUACGUG
rnacentral:rRNA from 1 species